AUUGAACGCUGGCGGCAGGCCUAACACAUGCAAGUCGAGCGGAGCGGCGGACGGGUGAUUAAUGCCUAGGAAUCUGCCUGGUAGUGGGGGAUAACGUCCGGAAACGGGCGCUAAUACCGCAUACUAUCAGAUGAGCCUAGGUCGGAUUAGCUAGUUGGUGGGGUAAAGGCCUACCAAGGCGACGAUCCGUAACUGGUCUGAGAGGAUGAUCAGUCACACUGGAACUGAGACACGGUCCAGACUCCUACGGGAGGCAGCAGUGGGGAAUAUUGGACAAUGGGCGAAAGCCUGAUCCAGCCAUGUCGCGUGUGUGAAGAAGGUCUUCGGAUUGUAAAGCUCUUUAAGUUGGGAGGCGUUACCCACCGAAGAAGCACCGGCUAACUCCGUGCCAGCAGCCGCGGUAAUUC
rnacentral:rRNA from 1 species